UACGAGGGGGGCGAGCGUUGUUCGGAAUUAUUGGGCGUAAAGGGCGCGUAGGCGGUGCGGUAAGUCACCUGUGAAACCUCUAGGCUUAACCUAGAGCCUGCAGGCGAAACUGCCGUGCUGGAGUGUGGGAGAGGUGCGUGGAAUUCCCGGUGUAGCAGUGAAGUGCGUAGAUAUCGUGAGGAAGACCAGUGGCGAAGGCGGAUCUCUGGACAGCUCCUGACGCUGAGGCGCGAAGGCUAGGGGAGCAAACGGG
rnacentral:rRNA from 1 species